rnacentral:lncRNA from 1 species
UCGGUGCUGGAGCCUCUGAAGGUGGUGUGGGCCAAGUGCAGCGGCUACCCCUCCUACCCGGCACUGAUCAUCGACCCCAAGAUGCCCCGUGUGCCUGGCCACCACAACGGCGUCACCAUCCCGGCCCCACCCCUGGACGUGCUGAAGAUUGGGGAGCACAUGCAGACCAAGUCUGAUGAGAAGCUGUUCCUCGUUCUCUUUUUUGAUAAUAAGAGAAGUUGGUGAGUUGAGAGGCCUUAGACUCCGGGGACCGGCUGGGGUGGUUGGGGGCCGUGGGCUCGGUGACCUGAGUGUCCCUGUGGUGAGCAGCGUCUUUGUCUGCUGGGCCCUGGCACAGCUAAAGUCGGAGGUGAGUGCUCCGCUGUUUGCCUGGUGGAGAAGGGCACUGCCCAGCCCCCUCGCCGGGACUGUGGGACGGGCACUGAGCACCGGGUCUGUCUCUGCCCGAUGGCUUCCUCUCCCUCUCGCCUGAGCCCCAUUGGUCUGGACUGUCUCUUCCCUACUCCUUACCCAUGUGUCCGCUCCAGUGUUGGGGGUCCCUCUGCUGUGCU